rnacentral:ncRNA from 1 species
AAUGAAACAUAGGGGUGUCUUCACAUCAUCGUGACGGCUGAGAUCAUACCCGUUGAACCUGUACGGAUCAUGCCGGCGUAGGGAUUGUUAUUAUGUUAUUA